rnacentral:rRNA from 1 species
AUUGAACGCUGGCGGCAGGCCUAACACAUGCUAGUCGAACGAGUGGCGGACGGGUGAGUAAUGUCUGGGAAACUGCCCGAUGGAGGGGGAUAACUACUGGAAACGGUAGCUAAUACCGCAUACCAUCGGAUGUGCCCAGAUGGGAUUAGCUAGUAGGUGGGGUAACGGCUCACCUAGGCGACGAUCCCUAGCUGGUCUGAGAGGAUGACGGGCCACACUGGAACUGGGACACGGUCCAGACUCCUACGGGAGGCAGCAGUGGGGAAUGUUGGACAGUGGGGGCAAUCCUGAUGCAGCCAUGCCGCGUGUAUGACGAAGGCCUUCGGGUUGGAAAGUACUUUCAGCGGUGAGGCGUUACCCGCAGAAGAAGCACCGGCUAACUCCGUGCCAGCAGCCGCGGUAAUAC